rnacentral:lncRNA from 10 species
UUUUCUUUUCCAUGGGAACGUUCUCAGCUGAUAUCCCAGUCCUCUGGCUGUCAGUUUAUUCAGGGCUACUCCACCCCCGCCUCAACUGCCUUUGCAGGAAUUGCACAGUGGUAGUUGACACAGAGCCGGACGCACUCUAGAACCUCCCAUGAAUUCCAGAGAGUCAAAUGCCUGUGGUGGGCAGGAAUAAAUGUUCUACUUGAACAAGGUGACAUGGCCUGGGAGAGGGAGAACCACACCGACCAGGCAGGGCCCCGCCAUCAACCUGCUGAUGCAACAGGGAAACAGUUGCUCUUCUAGAAGUGGAUUUCCUUAUUAUCGAGCCCCCAGAAGCCAGCAAGAAAUCAACAUGCCUACCUCAAAUAGUUCAACAAAGGGCAUCAUAGUCCUAAAGGCCUAAGGAUUUCUCAGAAGGAGUCAAGUACUCAUUCCUGCCAAGUACUCUCUCAGUCCUAGAAGCUACCCUCUGACAGGCACACACUCCAGCAAAGGAGGCUCUUCAAAAGGGCUGAGGCCAUGGAAAUCAGAGAGUAUGACUCUUCUGAAAAUCUAGAAGUUCUGGGCAUUGAACACAAGGACAUUGUACCCUCCUGACCUUGACUGACUAUGUGAGAAGGCAAGGUAUAGGAAAAUCAGACAUGUACCAAGGUCUUUUGAGUGUUCAUUAUGGGGCAGACUUUGGCUCAAUGCUUUAUAUUCAUUUGACUUUGAGGCCUAUGAGAUAAAUUUUAUGAUCCCCAUUUUACAGAGGAGGAAAUUGAGACACAGAGCUAAAGUGACUUGUCCAAGAUUAUACAGCUAGAAAGACCAGAUUUGAACCCGGCAUUCUUUACUGCUAAACUACUGUCUCCUCUAAUAACGACAGCAAUAAAAAAUACUCAAAGUUGAGGAACUAUAGUAGGCAGUUGUGGAAAUCUGGACCUGAGGUCUAAACAAAUGACUACAAGUUCUAUGCUUUCGUUUGUUAGCGUGGCGAUCUCGGACAAGUCAUUUGACUACUUUGAGUGACAACAUACUGGCUUGCAAAGUGGGGGUAAUCACUCUUUCUACUUCACAGAUAAGGCUAAAAAGAUUAAAAGGGGAAUGCACAGUGGUUCAAGCCUGAAAUCCCAACACUUUGGGAGGCUGAGGGGAAGAUUGCUUGAGACCAGGAGUUGAAGACCAGCCUGGGCAACAUAGCAAGACCCCAACUCUACAAAAAAAUUUUAAAAGGUAAUGUGCACCUGUAGUCCCAGCUACUCGGGAGUUUGAGGCAGGAGGAUCACUUAAGCCUAGGAGUUUGAGGCUGCAGUGAGCUAUGAUUAUGUCACUGCAAUUAAGCUUGGGUGACAGAGCAAGUCCCUGUUUUUGUUUUGUUUUGUGUUUGCUUUUUAAUUAAGAGGCACAAUGUAUGUGAAGUGUUUAGAAUUGAUUCCUGACACAUAAUAAGUAUUCAGUAAAUGUUAAGUCUCCAUCAUUGUUGUUAUUGUUGUUGUUACUAUCAACGUCUUUCCUCCAGAGUUGUUGCCAAGUUCACAUGAGAUGAUGCCUGGGAAAGCUCUGUGCUGUGCACCUGUCAGUAAUCCCCUUUAUUACAAUGAUAGCAACCUAAGGGAUAGAGUUAUUUGUGAAGGUCUAACCCUAUUCCUCCCCCAAAUGGUUCAAAUUCUUUGUAUUGCAGCCAACACUGAUGACGAGUGAGGGUUUGACUUGGUGCCCACUGUGAAUGACGUCCUUCAGUAGAUCUCCAAGAACUGCAGCAAAUGCUUUUCUGGGCUUAUUUUAGCAUCAGAGGGCCUUUGAAGCAGGAUUUCAACAUUUAGCUUCAUUGUUUGGGGAUGGUGCCUUGCAUUUAAUGUAGGUUUACAACUUGAGCCUUCCUUCCUCUCAUCAUCUUGAGAUACCAUGAAGGCAGGUCAGGGAUGUGGUUGGCAGAGACAUAUCUUCAGAUUCAAAUGAAUUCUGUUGUUGAUUGUUAUUGAUUUUGAGAGUAAUAAGUGCUCACUAUUAAAAAAACUGGAAAAUGUAGAAAAC